UCUUGAUUAGCUCAGUGAGACCUUCAGGCUUCUGACUUCCAGAGUUGUAGUAUAAUAAACUUGUGUUGUUUUAAGCCAUUAAAGUUGUGGUAAUUUAUUGCAGCAGCAAUAGUACACUAAUAUUUGCUCUUUUGUAGUUGAGGAGACUAAGACUUGGCGAGGGGAAGAAGUUUGCCGAGGUUUGCACAGCAGCAGCUGGGAGCCCCGCUGUGGUCAUCUGAUUCUAGCGCCCGUUUCUCAUCACUGCAUGGUACUGCCUAUGAGAAAAGGAUGCCUGGCGGUGACUGUCCCUACCACCUAGACUGAUGUGACAAAAAUGGAACUUGUUCCUGAAGUUGGGAACCUAAUUGCAAGUGAGCUUGUUUCAAGAAGGAUCAUCAACAUGAUGCAUUAUAGCUACAUCCAUGCCUAGAGGGAUGCUUGGAACUAUGGUGUGUACUGCUAUGGGAUUAGUGGAGAUAGAUCCUCAGAAGCAUUAUUGCUUUUUUUGACUAUUAUCUUUCAAUGUAAAGGCCUUUGCUCUAAGAUCUUGGGUGCUUUAUUUAUUGGCCCAGGUAAGCUGAUUUAAGAGGCAUGAUAGAAAAUGCUCCCGUUCCCUUAAGGUAACUUAGUAACUAGGAGAAUGAUUCUAAACAUCAGACACCAGGAAGGGACAGUCUGAAGGCCUCUGAGGCAAUCACUGACAUCCACAAAUUAGUUUGGGAGCAGAAGACAAAGGUAAGGAAAAAGAAUCAGAUCUCUAAGAAACCUCAAGACCCUGGUCAGAAAGUAUUAAUCUAAUCUGAUGCAAAUUCUUUCUUAAAACAGAAAGGUAGCAAUCAAAGAUUGAUUACAGAUGCAGUUUAAGAUUUUAUCUUAAACCCAAGUUUUGUAAUUGCUAGAAUGUAAGUUGUGAUGUCAGGAAAUUUCAAUAUUCCAGUCUUGGGAAAAAUGAUCAUCUUUUCCCUGGGUUAAUCUAUUCCACUUGAAAACUGUAAUUAUGGGCACAGUUCCUGGGCCUUAGGAUACAAUGAUGGUUUUGUAAUCUCAUUCCUCUUGGUCACAGUGCCUCUACAGUGGACCUGAUAAGGCACUGAAUAGACUUAAAUAAAGUUCUGCUGACUACACA
ensembl:lncRNA